UCCGAGCAAUGGAUCACUCGACUCACGGGUCGAUGGAGAACGCAGCCAGCUGCAUGAUUUGGUUUUAAUUGCAGAACACUCAGACCGCUGAUUAUUCAAA